AGCGAACGCUGGCGGCAUGCUUAACACAUGCAAGUCGCACGGGCAGUUUCGGCUGUCAGUGGCGGACGGGUGAGUAACGCGUAGGUAUCUAUCCUUGGGUGGGGGACAACCGUGGGAAACUACGGCUAAUACCGCAUGACGACCAUUUUUGUGGUGAGAGUGGUCCAAAGGCGCAAGUCGCCUGAGGAGGAGCCUGCGUACGAUUAGCUAGUUGGUGGGGUAAAGGCCUACCAAGGCUACGAUCGUUAGCUGGUCUGAGAGGAUGAUCAGCCACACUGGGACUGAGACACGGGCCCCAGGACUCCUACGGGGAGGCAGCAGUGGGGGAAUAUUUGGACAAUGGGCGCAAGCCUGAUCCAGCAAUGCCGCGUGGGUGAAGAAGGUC
rnacentral:rRNA from 1 species